GCCGUGUCUGAAGCUUACAGGACAUCUGACUCUUUAUCUGCUUGUGUUCACCCUGACCCCACUGGUUCAUGAUUAGAAUUCUAGACAACAGUGAAGACUGACAACUGCACAAGCAAGAGAAAUGUAGGCUCCCUCCUCCUGAUAGCAGCAUUGACAUCAAAGAGGGCCCGGCUUAUUCCCUUUCCUGCUAUGGCUCCAUGUGCUGUUCAACAGUAUCAUCAAUAGAUUUUUUACCAAUCAUGAGUGCGUUCCACGUGCCGGAAGCAAUGAAAUAAAAGGAGUAAUUAUGCAAAAUGUUUAGCAGAGUCAGAAUGUGCACACCCAGCGUCCGCCAGCUGUGCCCGCGCUAAGUGUAACAAGGUGUCCGUCUGUGACUGAUAU